rnacentral:sRNA from 25 species
GUGAAAUGAAUCACAUACAAACAAUAACCCCUUUGUUUGACCGUGAAUCUUUCUCCCAUCCCCCCUUUUGUCUAUAAAAGACAACGUGUAGUGGCCAAGCUUUGCUUGGCCCUUUUA